rnacentral:rRNA from 1 species
UACGGAGGGAGCUAGCGUUGUUCGGAAUUACUGGGCGUAAAGCGCACGUAGGCGGCGACUCAAGUCAGGGGUGAAAGCCCGGGGCUCAACCCCGGAACUGCCUUUGAAACUAGGUUGCUAGAAUCUUGGAGAGGUCAGUGGAAUUCCGAGUGUAGAGGUGAAAUUCGUAGAUAUUCGGAAGAACACCAGUGGCGAAGGCGACUGACUGGACAUGUAUUGACGCUGAGGUGCGAAAGCGUGGGGAGCAAACAGG